rnacentral:lncRNA from 1 species
CCUGUCUCCAGCUUGCCCAGCUACAGUUAGAAAAUCUGUCACAGGCUACAACAGCUGAGCUCAGCACACCCCAAAGCCCUUUCUGCAGCACACAUUAAAGUAGGAACUCCCUUUCAAGGAUCAAGUUCUCUCAAGGACCCAGAUAUGGGCAGUUGAGUGAGCCUUAGCAGACCAGUUAUUUUUCUUGCUUGGGUGUGUUGUUCUGGAGGGAAGACCAGCCAAAGAUUUCUGUUUGUUUUGUUUUUUCCAGGGGAAUUUGUACCUGACAGCUUUCCAGUGAAUUUUGGAGUGAGGAAAAAGGCUCAGAUUGUCAGCAAAUGGAUGGUAAGGACGGAGAGAUUACUGGCACUGUGUCACUGGCUGGAACCGAGGAAGCCAAAGAGCAGAAGUAAUUUCCGUUUCUCUAUGACUACUGCAACAACUCAGGUAGCUUGAGGAGCCAGCAUCUUGGCCUCUUUGCUCCUGAAAACACAUUGUAGCCUUCGAUUUGAAGUCUAUGGCAUAAGGGAAGUGCAGUGGAAAUUUUGGUUGGAUCUUUAAGUGUCAUGGCUACUGCUCAACUAACAUACCCUUUCUUUUUGUUCUUUGUUAUUAAAGAAAUAUCACUCUAUUUUCAGAAGGGCAUGAUAAGAGGUUUAGUAGUCUGAUUCACUGCCCAGAAGAAGUUAAUGGGGAACAGAGCAAGAUUCUCAUGUGAUUAGUGAUGCAAAAAUAAGAUUGUAACAUAAAUCUCAGUUAGCAUUUUCUCAUGUGCUUUAUUCAUCUGUUGCGAUCUUUUCAAGACUGCAUUUCCCUUAACUCUUCAUGUCCCCGAGGAACAGUGUUUUUGAAUCAUUUACAUCCUGAUCAGAACUAAUAACUCAGCAGUAAUUUCAGUAAAU